ACGAAGGGGGCUAGCGUUGUUCGGAAUUACUGGGCGUAAAGCGCACGCAGGCGGACUGAUCAGUCAGGGGUGAAAUCCCGGGGCUUAACCCCGGAACUGCCUUUGAUACUGUCAGUCUCGAGUCCGGGAGAGGUGAGUGGAAUUCCUAGUGUAGAGGUGAAAUUCGUAGAUAUUAGGAAGAACACCAGUGGCGAAGGCGGCUCACUGGCCCGGUACUGACGCUCAGGUGCGAAAGCGUGGGGAGCAAACAGGA
rnacentral:rRNA from 1 species